AAUCAAGCAGGAAUUUCACGGAGCAUAUCGUCAUGAAAUUGACCAUAGCCUGCAUUAUUGUUAGCUUUGUUCUCUUAAACAUUGUCGGCCAGAGUACGGAGUGUAGAUGGCAUUCACAAAAUAGUCCGGCAACUCCAAGAAAAACUAAAAGAGCAACUCGUAAGGUAAUCUGCAGAACUACAAGAUGUGGAGCUCCGAAAACAACUAGACGACCCACACAAAGAACCACUCGAAAAAUAAGAUGUGUAAAAAUUCAAAAGACAACCCGAAGAACAACCAGAAGAACAACUCAGAGGACAACACGCAGAAGAACGUGUAAGACAACGUCUAAAAGAACGUGUAAGACAACCCCUAAAACAACGUGUAAGACAACUUCGAGGACAACACCUAAAACAACGUGUAAGACUACUUCGAGGACAACACUUAAAACAACGUGUAAGACAACUUCAAGGACAACACCUAGGGAUACCAACUGCCAGACCACAAGAUCAACUACACCCAGAGUAACAUGUAAGACAACCAAUGGGACACCAUCCCAACCUUGUUACCCAUGCAGUCCUUGCGGUCCUGGGGGAAAGGAUUGUCCUGGAUGUCCACCACAAGAACAGCUCUGCGAGGAGCUUAUGGCCCAACAAAGGACACUCAAGCAGAUGAUUAGGACAUGCGUCUGUGAUGUGACACAUCCUACGGAUGAUUAACUAAAAUUGUUUUCUGAAUUUUAAAUAUAACUGCUUACAAUUAAAAUUACUUAAUAUUACAA